rnacentral:misc_RNA from 1 species
GAAAUGCGAUAAGUAGUGUGAAUUGCAGAAUUCAGUGAAUCAUCGAAUCUUUGAACGCACAUUGCGCCCCUUGGUAUUCCAUGGGGCAUGCCUGUUCGAGCGUCAUUUGUACCUUCAAGCUUUGCUUGGUGUUGGGUGUUUGUCUCGCCUCUGCGUGUAGACUCGCCUCAAAACAAUUGGCAGCCGGCGUAUUGAUUUCGGAGCGCAGUACAUCUCGCGCUUUACACUCAUAACGACGACGUCCAAAAGUACAUUUUUACACUCUUGACCUCGGAUCAGGUAGGGAUACCCGCUGAACUUAAGC